AUUGAACGCUGGCGGCAGGCUUAACACAUGCAAGUCGAACGAGUGGCGGACGGGUGAGUAAUGUAUGGGAAUCUACCUGAUGGAGGGGGAUAACUACGGGAAACUGUAGCUAAUACCGCGUACAAUAGGAUGAGCCCAUGUGGGAUUAGGUAGUUGGUGAGGUAAAGGCUCACCAAGGCGACGAUCCCUAGCUGGUCUGAGAGGAUGACCAGCCACACUGGGACUGAGACACGGCCCAGACUCCUACGGGAGGCAGCAGUGGGGAAUAUUGCACAAUGGGGGCAAGCCUGACGCAGCCAUGCCGCGUGUAUGAAGAAGGCCUUCGGGUUGUAAAGUACUUUCGGUAGCGAGGCGUUAACUACAGAAGAAGCACCGGCUAACUCCGUGCCAGCAGCCGCGGUAAUAC
rnacentral:rRNA from 1 species